rnacentral:rRNA from 1 species
UUUCGGAUCGUAAAGCUCUGUUGUUAGGGAAGAACAAGUACCGUUCGAAUAGGGCGGUACCUUGACGGUACCUAACCAGAAAGCCACGGCUAACUACGUGCCAGCAGCCGCGGUAAUACGUAGGUGGCAAGCGUUGUCCGGAAUUAUUGGGCGUAAAGGGCUCGCAGGCGGUUUCUUAAGUCUGAUGUGAAAGCCCCCGGCUCAACCGGGGAGGGUCAUUGGAAACUGGGGAACUUGAGUGCAGAAGAGGAGAGUGGAAUUCCACGUGUAGCGGUGAAAUGCGUAGAGAUGUGGAGGAACACCAGUGGCGAAGGCGACUCUCUGGUCUGUAACUGACGCUGAGGAGCGAAAGCGUGGGGAGCGAACAGGAUUAGAUACCCUGGUAGUCCACGCCGUAAACGAUGAGUGCUAAGUGUUAGGGGGUUUCCGCCCCUUA